rnacentral:misc_RNA from 1 species
CAGAGUUGCAAAACUCCCACAAACCAUCGUGAAUCUUACCCGUACGGUUGCCUCGGCGCUGGUCGGUCCGGAAGGCCCUCGGGCCCCCCGGAUCCUCGGGUCUCCCGCUCGCGGGAGGCUGCCCGCCGGAGUGCCGAAACCAAACUCUUGAUAUUUUAUGUCUCUCUGAGUAAACUUUUAAAUAAGUCA